UGGGAUGCAGCUCAGUGGUAGAGCACUUGCCUAGCAUGUGCAAGGCCCUGGGUUCAAUUCUCAGCACCACAA
rnacentral:tRNA from 1 species